rnacentral:rRNA from 2 species
AAACGACUCUCGGCAACGGAUAUCUCGGCUCUCGCAUCGAUGAAGAACGUAGCGAAAUGCGAUACUUGGUGUGAAUUGCAGAAUCCCGUGAACCAUCGAGUCUUUGAACGCAAGUUGCGCCCCAAGCCUUCUGGCCGAGGGCACGUCUGCCUGGGUGUCACAAAYC